GUGGAUUAGAUACCCUGGUAGUCCACGCCGUAAACGAUGAUCACUCGCUGUUGGCGAUACACAGUCAGCGGCUAAGCAAAAGCAUUAAGUGAUCCACCUGGGGAGUACGGCCGCAAGGCUGAAACUCAAAGGAAUUGACGGGGGCCCGCACAAGCGGAGGAACAUGUGGUUUAAUUCGAUGAUACGCGAGGAACCUUACCUGGGCUUAAAUGUAGAGUGUAUGAGGUAGAAAUACUUCUUCCCUUCGGGGCUCUUUGCAAGGUGCUGCACGGUCGUCGACAGCU
rnacentral:rRNA from 1 species